UACGUAGGGGGCGAGCGUUGUCCGGAUUUAUUGGGCGUAAAGAGCGUGUAGGCGGCCAGGUAGGUCUGCUGUGAAAACUCGAGGCUCAACCUCGAGACGCCGAUGGAAACCAUCGAACUAGAGUCCGGAAGAGGAGAGUGGAAUUCCUGGUGUAGCGGUGAAAUGCGCAGAUAUCAGGAAGAACACCCGUGGCUAAGGCGGCUCUCUAGUACGGUACUGACGCUGAGACGCGAAAGCGUGGGGAGCGAACAGG
rnacentral:rRNA from 1 species